rnacentral:rRNA from 1 species
GGGUGGGCUACACACGUGCUACAAUGGCGACUACAGAGGGUUAAUCCUUAAAAGUCGUCUCAGUUCGGAUUGUCCUCUGCAACUCGAGGGCAUGAAGUUGGAAUCGCUAGUAAUCGCGGAUCAGCAUGCCGCGGUGAAUACGUUCCCGGGCCUUGUACACACCGCCCGUCACACCAUGGGAGUUGGUUCUACCCGAAGGCGAUGCGCUAACCGCAAGGAGGCAGUCGACCACGGUAGGGUCAGCGACUGGGGUGAAGUCGUAACAAGGUAGCCGUAGGGGAACCUGCGGUUGGAUCACCUCC